UACGUAGGGGGCGAGCGUUGUCCGGAUUUAUUGGGCGUAAAGAGCUCGUAGGCGGUUGGGUAAGUCGGGUGUGAAAACUCAGGGCUCAACUCUGAGACGCCACUCGAUACUGCCCUGACUCGAGUCCGGUAGGGGAGCGUGGAAUUCCCGGUGUAGCGGUGAAAUGCGCAGAUAUCGGGAGGAACACCAGUGGCGAAGGCGGCGCUCUGGGCCGGAACUGACGCUGAGGAGCGAAAGCGUGGGGAGCAAACAGG
rnacentral:rRNA from 1 species